UUGCUCUCUUUGCAGUGUGCCAGUUUGUUUUCUUCGCUGUUGGGUGGUGGUAUUUUUUUGGAGAAGGGCGAGCGAAGAGAAAGAAUGAAAAGAAAGUUUUUUCUUUCUUUUAAACAAAUGGUAGCUCUGCUGGUUUGAUGCUGGCUCUGCCGCUGCUGCUGCUGCUGCUCCUGCUGCUCCUGCUGCUCCAGCCUCUGUUUCUUGUUGUAAGGAAGAAGAAAGAAAGCAAGAAGUGGAACCACGGCUUCAAGGUUGCCUUGAUUCAUCGAUGAUCACUCGCUCCAGUUUUUAGAGGGAGGAGAGUUCUUGUUCCUCCCCCCUCGCAAGUCAAGUCACUCUAUAUUCCACUGCUCGAGUGAAAGAACAUCUGAUCGGAGCUCAUAUUUUUUACCUUUUUAUUAUUACUCGAUUCUUCUUCUUCUUCUUAUUCUCCCAGCAGCAACCACACACACAAAUACUCUUGCUUUGAAUGUCCAUCUACAUUUAUUCGGGACGUCCUGUGCGAGGCAGUAUAGUUUCCUCUCGUGCUUGCGCGCUCGCAUUCCAUCCUUUCCAGGGCUUGGUUUUGUUUAUCAUCUCCAAGACACACUGGUGCCAAGACUAAAGACCAUGCUACGUUGAUUACGAGGAGUACACAAGCGAGCGCCGAGAAGGGGGCAGCACCAGUCCGGCUGCAGUGGUUUCUUCCCAUUCUUUUCUUUUUUUCUUUCCUUGGCCAGCAGCAUUGGCAGGAA